UUGUUCCUACGGGAGGCAGCAGUGGGGGAUAUUGCACAAUGGGGGAAACCCUGAUGCAGCGACGCCGCGUGUGGGAAGACGGUCCUCUGGAUUGUAAACCACUGUCCCCAGGGACGAAAAUGACGGUACCUGGGGAGGAAGCUCCGGCUAACUACGUGCCAGCAGCCGCGGUAAUACGUAGGGGGCAAGCGUUAUCCGGAUUUACUGGGUGUAAAGGGAGCGUAGACGGCGGCGCAAGUCCGGAGUGAAAGCCCACGGCCCAACCGUGGGACUGCUCUGGAAACUGUGCGGCUUGAGUGCGGGAG
rnacentral:rRNA from 1 species